rnacentral:rRNA from 1 species
CUCAAAUGAAUUGACGGGGGCUCACACAAGCGGUGGAGGAUGUUGCUCAAUUCGAAGCAACGCGAAGAACCUUACCUGGGUUUGACAUGCAGGGAUUAACCCCAUGAAAGUGGGGGGAUUGCCUUCGGGUGUAACCUGUACAGGUGUUGCAUGGCUGUCGUCAGCUCGUGCCUUGAGGUGUUGGGUUAAGUCCCCUAACGAGCGAAACCCCUGUCGUUAGUUGCCAUCGGGUCAUGCCGGGCACUCUAGCGAGACUGCCGGUGUCAAACCGGAGGAAGGUGGGGACGACGUCAAGUCAUCAUGGCCCUUAUAUCCAGGGCGGCAAACGUCCUACAAUGGCCCGUACAAAGGGAAGCAAAGCCGCGAGGCGGAGCAAAUCCCAAAAAGCGGGCCCUAGUUCGGAUUGCAGGCUGCAAUUCGCCUGCAUGAAGCUGGAAUCGCUAGUAAUCGCGGAUCAGAACGCCGCGGUGAAUAUGUUCCUGAGCCUUGUACACACCGGCCGUCAAGCCACGAAAGUCGGAAGCACCCGAAGUCUCGAUCCAACCGCAAGGAGGAAGGCGCCGAAGGUGAGUUCGAUGAUUGGGACUAACUCGUAACAAGGUAGUCGUAGAAACUGCGGUGGAUCACUCC